CCCGAGGAAAAGAAAUCAACCGAGAUUCCCCCAGUAGCGGCGAGCGAACGGGGAGGAGCCCAGAGCCUGAAUCAGCAUGUGUGUUAGUGGAAGCGUCUGGAAAGGCGCGCGAUACAGGGUGACAGCCCCGUACACAAAAGCGCAUGUGCUGUGAGCUCGAUGAGUAGGGCGGGACACGUGGUAUCCUGUCUGAAUAUGGGGGGACCAUCCUCCAAGGCUAAAUACUCCUGACUGACCGAUAGUGAACCAGUACCGUGAGGGAAAGGCGAAAAGAACCCCGGCGAGGGGAGUGAAAAAGAACCUGAAACCGUGUACGUACAAGCAGUGGGAGCACAGGUUUACCUGUGUGACUGCGUACCUUUUGUAUAAUGGGUCAGCGACUUAUAUUCUGUAGCAAGGUUAACCGUAUAGGGGAGCCGGAGGGAAACCGAGUCUUAACCGGGCGUUAAGUUGCAGGGUAUAGACCCGAAACCCGGUGAUCUAGCCAUGGGCAGGUUGAAGGUUGGGUAACACUAACUGGAGGACCGAACCGACUAAUGUUGAAAAAUUAGCGGAUGACCUGUGGCUGG
rnacentral:rRNA from 1 species